rnacentral:rRNA from 1 species
UACGUAUGGGGCUAGCGUUGUCCGGAAUCAUUGGGCGUAAAGAGCGUGUAGGCGGCCCGGUAAGUCCGCUGUGAAAGUCGGGGGCUCAACCCUCGAAUGCCGGUGGAUACUGUCGGGCUAGAGUGCGGAAGAGGCGAGUGGAAUUCCUGGUGUAGCGGUGAAAUGCGCAGAUAUCAGGAGGAACACCGAUUGCGAAGGCAGCUCGCUGGGACGUAACUGACGCUGAGACGCGAAAGCGUGGGGAGCAAACAGG